UACAGAGGUCCCAAGCGUUGUUCGGAUUCACUGGGCGUAAAGCGCACGUAGGCGGACUCUUAAGUCGGUGGUGAAAUCCUGGAGCUCAACUCCAGAACUGCCUUCGAUACUGAGAGUCUUGAGUCCGGGAGAGGUGAGUGGAACUGCGAGUGUAGAGGUGAAAUUCGUAGAUAUUCGCAAGAACACCAGUGGCGAAGGCGGCUCACUGGCCCGGUACUGACGCUGAGGUGCGAAAGCGUGGGGAGCAAACAGG
rnacentral:rRNA from 1 species